AACGAACGCUGGCGGCAUGCCUAACACAUGCAAGUCGAACGAGACCUUCGGGUCUAGUGGCGCACGGGUGCGUAACGCGUGGGAACCUGCCCUUAGGUUCGGAAUAACUCCCCGAAAGGGGUGCUAAUACCGGAUAAUGUCUUCGGACCAAAGAUUUAUCGCCUUUGGAUGGGCCCGCGUUGGAUUAGCUAGUUGGUAGGGUAAAAGCCUACCAAGGCGACGAUCCAUAGCUGGUCUGAGAGGAUGAUCAGCCACACUGGGACUGAGACACGGCCCAGACUCCUACGGGAGGCAGCAGUGGGGAAUAUUGGAAAAUGGGCGAAAGCCUGAUGCAGCAAUGCCGCGUGAGUGAUGAAGGCCUUAGGGUUGUAAAGCUCUUUUACCCGGGAUGAUAAUGACAGUACCGGGAGAAUAAGCUCCGGCUAACUCCGUG
rnacentral:rRNA from 1 species